rnacentral:rRNA from 1 species
CCAAGGCAGUGAUACGUAGCCGACCUGAGAGGGUAAUCGGCCACAUUGGGACUGAGACACGGCCCAGACUCCUACGGGAGGCAGCAGUAGGGAAUCUUCCACAAUGGACGCAAGUCUGAUGGAGCAACGCCGCGUGAGUGAAAGGCUCGGGUCGUACUCUGUUGUUGGAGAAGAACGUGUGUGAGAGUAACUGCUCAUGCAGUGACGGUAUCCAACCAGAGCCACGGCUAACUACGUACGUAGGUGGCAAGCGUUAUCCGGAUUUAGGGCGUAAAGCGACGCAGGCGGUCUAAGUCUAAUGUGAGCCUUCGGCUU